rnacentral:rRNA from 1 species
GCGUUGUUCGGAAUUACUGGGCGUAAAGGGCUCGUAGGCGGCCAACUAAGUCAUACGUGAAAUCCCUCGGCUUAACCGGGGAACUGCGUCUGAUACUGGAUGGCUUGAGUUCGGGAGAGGGAUGCGGAAUUCCAGGUGUAGCGGUGAAGUGCGUAGAUAUCUGGAGGAACACCGGUGGCGAAGGCGGCAUCCUGGACCGAUACUGACGCUGAGGAGCGAAAGCCAG